AUGCUGAUCCAGAUGCUCACUCUUACAGUGUUACAAUGCAAUAGGAAGAAGUUAUGAUAGGGAGCACGUUCAUACAUUUAUAGCAAAGAACAUUACCAAAAAUGUUGACCUUGUAGCUCUAUCUGAAGGCUAUAGAGAUCUACUUAUAGCUCUUUUAUUUCUAAACCUUGUAAUCCAAAAGAAAAUUUAUAUUCAACAGCAGAAUAAUAUGGACUAUCUCCAAUUUUUUCUUUCACUAAAUUGUAUUUUCUCUGUAACAGCAAUCUUCAAGUCACCGGUAGACAAAAGAAAAGGUGUAGUUUUUCUUGAAGCGAUUACUCCAACAUAAGAUAGACUGAUAACUGCAAAGUGUCGAGCAGUGCUAAUAGAGGCCACAGAGGUGUCCUUAAGAUAUAACUAUAUGUUAUAACUAUAACAUAACUAUAAAAAUAUAAUAUAUAUAUGUAAACUCCCUAGCGUUCAUGUAGGAUAGGGAUUCUUUUUGUUUUAUGGGUAGCACGACAGGCUGUGUUUGACGGAUGGUGCGAUCUUCCUUUGUUGGACGGACGACUAUUUGAAGAAGCACGUUUUUUCCAAACGAACGGACGGAGAGUUACAUUAGAGAGACAAACAAGGUUACAGAAUAGUUGUUUAAGAUUUGAAAUACUGAAGAUUUAAGAUUAAAGACUGAAGAAGAAAGAUAGGUAGCUCAGGACAUUGAAAAUCGAUUCUCCAUUUUCAGAAUCAAUCCCUGAAUUAUCCAAUUAUUGAACCUUAUAAAUCGAUUUUGCCCACGUCAUGGCGCUGAAAGUUAACCUACGCGUCGUCAUGACCGAGAACGCGAAAGGGGAGAAGAUAGAGAGUAUAGAAUCUAUCAGAAGACCAGAAGACGAAAUGUGCUAUAUUUUCCCUCCCCCCGGAAUAUCAAAAAAGAAAGUACCAUCGACAAUUAUUCAGUUUACCAACAGUGAAAAAGACCGCAAACAGUCUAACCAAGAGGAAGCACAAAUAAACUCCACAAGAAAAAACAAAGACGAAUAUCAAGACACCCAACCUGGACAUGGAAAAACUUCUAGAGACCCUCCAAAGACGAGAUAAGAGGAAAAUAGAGAAAAUAAACUUCAAUAUAGAACAAUUUGAAGGAACUCAAAAAGCCACAAACUGGAUAUCAAAGUAUGACGAGGAAUGCAAAAAAUACAAAAUAAAAAGCAACGAGGAAAAAGUCAAAGGUUUAAGACAGUAUCUAGGAAAAACAGCAGAAAGACGGUACCAAACAAAUCUACUGAAAGCUGAAGGACACAACUGGGAAGAUUGGAAAGUAGCAUUUCUCAAAACCUUUAAGAAUAAAGGUUGGCCAGCAAUAUGAUAUGCUUACAACUUUAAAUAUUUUUCAGGUUCAUUCACAGAAUAUGCAAUAGAGAAAAAACGACUAAUAUUGGAAGUAAAAAGGAAAAUGCCUGAAGAUGUGAGGAUACACCUGAUUGUCAUUGGACUAUCUAUCGAAGACAAAACCAAGACAAAAUCGAAAGAGAAAAUAUACAGACAACAAAUGACCUAAUGGGAAUUUUGGGACAAUAUGAAGACUGCAGAAAAAGGAAAGAAACACAAGAAAGAAAGAUAGACCUGGUUAAAAAGAUCAUAAACCAUUGGAAUCAUUGAGAAUCAAGGCAAGAACUGAUGAAACCUUAGGAGACCUGAUACACUACUUGUCGCAGUACUACUUCAAGAUCAUGCUCCAGGAAAACACAACAUGGAGGCAGACGCACUAUCCAUGAACCCCAUCUUAGAAAGCUUUGAGAAUGAGGAAGAUGUUUUCAAAGUAGCAAAUAUUGUAAAAAAACAAGACAUAAUCCGAGAUCAAAAAGAAAACAGAGAAGAUAUUAAAAAUACAAAAGACCUUAUAAAAAAUCAGAGAUUUUUUUUUUAAAUAUUAAAGGACGCCAACCUAUAUUCAUUUCACAAGAGUUUGGUGAACAUAAAACAUAAGGAAGGUUCAUGAUUUCUUUGGUCACAUUGGAAGAAACCAUAUACUGAAGAAAAUCCGACCCUUUUAUUAUUUCAAAAAGAUGUACCGAAUCGUCGACAAAUUCUGCAAACAUUGCGAAAUUUGCAUCAGAAAUAAAAGCAGAACGAGAAGACCGAUCGGUUUUAUGUCGAAACUAGGACCAGCUAGGAAACCGUUUGGAAUAAUGCCAUUCGAUAUGGAGAUUUUUCCAAUAACAACUCACCAAAGAAAUACAUGCACA